GAGUUUGAUCGUGGCUCAGAUUGAACGCUGGCGGCAUGCCUUACACAUGCAAGUCGAACGGCAGCACGGGAGCUUGCUCCUGGUGGCGAGUGGCGAACGGGUGAGUAAUGCAUCGGAACGUAUCCUGGAGUGGGGGAUAACGUAGCGAAAGUUACGCUAAUACCGCAUAUUCUGUGAGCAGGAAAGCGGGGGACCUUCGGGCCUCGCGCUCUUGGAGCGGCCGAUGUCGGAUUAGCUAGUUGGUGAGGUAAAGGCUCACCAAGGCGACGAUCCGUAGCAGGUCUGAGAGGAUGAUCUGCCACACUGGAACUGAGACACGGUCCAGACUCCUACGGGAGGCAGCAGUGGGAAUUUUGGACAGUGGGGGCAACCCUGAUCCAGCCAUGCCGCGUGAGUGAAGAAGGCCU
rnacentral:rRNA from 1 species